GUCAUUCGCUCUAUUAGUUCGGUUGCCAGAGAGGAGACCCAGUUGUCCAGUCUUUUUGUUCUGUAUCUAUGGACGCAACCCAGUGGCUGGCAACGUUCUUAUCCCUUGCUUGCUAGCUAGCCAACUAUGGCUAACUUACAGUCACUUCAAACCGUGCAGACAGAAUAACAACAGUAGCUUCAUUUGUUUAAGCUGUUUUCAAGUGACAUUUAUUUGUAUACAUCCAUAACAAUGAGCUAAUUAGGCACGAUAUCUCCUGGCAUAGAAAAUGUGCUCUCUCGUUAUGAGGCUGUUGUUCAGAGGAGCUAGCCAACAAUGUCAAAGAUUUAGCCUGGUGAUAACUUGUGGAAUAGACACAGUCUGGAAUGCAUUUUUAACACAUCAGCCUCCGGGAUUAGACCCACCCAAAUUAACAGCAGCGCACACCUCAGAAACCUUGUCAUGUUGAAACAAGGCACUGCUGUUAGGCGUCAUGGAAACAUGGCUGAAAAUGACAUACAAGUUCCUAGGAAAAAGUUGUGAAAGAUUGUUGAAGAUGAUACAGCAGCAAGAGACGAGCCUUGCCGUGCUAAAAUGUAGGUCACAGACUGUUUGUAAAGGUAUGUAUUUAAAACCUCUUGGCCCCAGCUCAUAGAAUAAAAGGUACAACCCAAAUUAUACCAAGCAAGAUGUUUGCCCCAUCUUGAUCAGGUCGUUAUUGUAAGAGAGAAUGUGUUCUCAAUUGCUAACCUGGUUAAAUAAAAAUGUAAUAAAUAACAGAUCAUUAAUCUGCUCACCAUCCCUGGUCCAGGAAAGCCCCUGGGUGUGCAGGCUUUUGUUCCAGCCCAGCACUAAUACACAAUCUUCAACUAAGCCUAAUCGAUAAAGUGUAUUAUUGAUGGACUGGAAACAAAAGCCUGCAAGCCAGGUAGCUCCCUUGUACCGGAGCUUGUGACAACUGCUGUAGGUCAUCAUCUCUUAGUUAUUGUACUGCACUGUACUAUUGACCACUAAUCAGGAAUACAGCAGCUCAGUUUAGUAUUAGUAGAAUAUAAAACUGGGUGGUUCGACCCUGAAUGCUGAUUGGCUGACAGCCAUGGUAUAUCAGACCAUAUGACUAAACAUGUCUUUUUUUUCUGCUCUAAUUAUGCUGGUAAACAGUUUCUAAUAACAUCGUACAUCUGGCCAGUGUGAACACGAAGCCAAAAGACACUACAGUAUGUACCACUCAGUCUAUUUUCAGAGCAUCGAUAGUUCCUCUUCUGCUUCCUCUCAGCUCACUGUGUCUUCUCAGAGUGAUACUGUCAGCGACAAAAACAUACUCACUGCAAGCGGAGGCUCUGUUGCAUCAUAUUGUUGGUUCUACAUCCAACUGGCCAAACCGUUCACUGUUCAUGGGAUAGUUCCGAAAAUAAAUAAAGAUGUCUAGGUUGUUAAAUUGAGCUUCAUGCAGUAAGAAUAUUAGUAGUAGCUUAGCUUAGAUUCAACCUCCUUCUCAACUUGAAAUGUUGACAUGUUUUGUUGUUUUGCGUGUGUGCAUGUGUGUGUGUGUGUGUGUGUGUUUGCUUGACCACAGAAUCUUCCGGAUCUUCAAGGGAACUAGUGGCAUCCUCGAGCAAUUCAUGGCUCUCAACAGUUUCCGGCUAACAGAGAGUCAAAGGUUACUAAGUAGAAUACCAGGAAACAAAGAUUUAAUAAAACAUAUUUGUCCGAAUGUAAAGUCCCCUACUGUACUGUGAGCUGUAUGGACUGUAUCAUGUGCAAUAACCUGCGUUGAUAUUAUUUGCUGUUCUCUUCCUUUCUGACUUGAACUCUGUGUACAUACCAUUAUAGCAUUACUCUUAAGAUGUGAAUCUAGCUAUACAAAUUGAACACGAAUUGUGUGUUUGUGUGUGUAAAGAAUGGUGAUAACCAGCUAAAACGCCGACAGAAGACUCUGGCUGGAGAACUCACCAAGCAGGCCAAGAGAUUGGUCUUUCUCUCUCACUCACACACACACAUAUUACAAACAUCAUGCAUUGUUCCUCCAUCCUUCUCUCUAAGUGUCGGAAGGCAGAUUGGGGCACAGGGCUGACACUACAGGGAACCCAUAACAGAGAACUGGUGAGUAUAUUAGUGUGUUGGUGCCUGACUGUACGUGUUCCUCAGUUUGCUGUUGAUAUUUUUGUGUUCUGUGGACGAUUCAAGCCAGUGAGCAGUUGGGAAGUGAACCUUGUUGAAGUGCCACUCCUCAAACACGGCAGGAGGAUCCUAGUUGAGUGACUAAGAGCGCUGUCCACGUGACUGGAUAGGUGCUGCUAGGACAGUGGCUUGGAUGGUGAUACUGUGAUGCGCAGUUUGUGCUGAAGAGACUUGCUGCCAGUGCCAUUGACCUGUACGCCAUGGUGGUCGUCCCGUCUCAGUAUAAAUUAGUACACUGCUACACACAUACGCAAUAUCUGUCUCUGUACCUCACACGUUCGUCAUCACACUGCGUGUUUGUUUGGUGGACUUCGGUUUAACCCAACCCCUCAUAUUCAGAGUUGCUGGGUUAAAUGUGGAAGACACAUUUUGAUUGAAUGCAUUCAGUUGUGCAACUGACUAGGUUAUCCCCUUUCCUUCUUUCCUCUCCCAGGGUGUCAUCUUCCCUCUGCCCAGCAUGAGAAGAUGUUGUGUGAGAACUGGUAUUUUGAGAUGUGCCCGUGAGAGGAUUAUGCAGAACAUCAAGACUCUGCGCACCCGCAAUGCCGAGCAGAUCUUCAAGAACCUGGGGGCCAUCUCUACAGUCGUGGAGGAAAACGGAGGAGCGGUCUCCCCUCUGGCUCUGGGCUUCUAAAUGCCCCCUCUCAUCCCUGUUCUUAGCUCUCCCUCCUCUCUUUAUUGCCUCUCCCUCCCUACUCUUUCCAUCUCCCCUUUCCACUCUUCCACUCUUUAACUACAGCCACACUCUGUUUCUCUUACAUUCCGACCUCCACCUCUGACCUUCUUCUCAAACUUUCACAUCUGCUCUAUGCAUUUUAUAUCUGUUAUAUCAUCCUCCAUAUAGUGCCAAGGGACUGAAUAUCCAUCCUGAGAAAUGUAUACUUGUUUUUAUCAUUUUGGCCAACGCAUUGACAGUACUUUCAAUGUGUCUCGAAUCUGUAAUCCAAUUCUGGAACUUGAGGUUGGAGCUCCUAAAUGCACCAUGAAUGUUAAAGCUCAUAUGUACGUGAUGUCAACACGAUCGUUCUAUGAUACAUAUAUGAUUGUUUAGCCUAGUGUAACACUGCAAGCAAGAUGAUCUGUUUAUCUAAUGCACUGUCCGCAUCGCCAGUAAGCUGAAUGUGUUAACUUACGUUUAUAGAAUUAUUUAAGUCAAUGAGACAGAGACUUUAAGCAUUCCUCCCAUAGCCGUUCUAUGGAUAAUUUAAAAUGAAGGCUAUUUUGUUUAGAUACAUUGAUGUAUUGAAAGCUGGGCUUCUAUGUGUAUCUUCAUGCCUUCUUGUGUGAUUAGUUAGUCCUGCUUAGUUUCAGUCCAUAUUAAUUCAUACGGUGCAUGCAACAACUUAACCCGUUAGGUUAUAAAGUCUUUGCUUUGGAAACAAA